rnacentral:rRNA from 1 species
UACGUAGGGUGCAAGCGUUAAUCGGAAUUACUGGGCGUAAAGCGUACGCAGGCGGCUUUGCAAGACAGGUGUGAAAUCCCCGGGCCUAACCUGGGAACUGCAUUUGUGACUGCAUGGCUAGAGUUUGUCAGAGGGGGGUGGAAUUCCACGUGUAGCAGUGAAAUGCGUAGAUAUCUGGAGGAACACCGGUGGCGAAGGCGGCAUCCUGGACCGGCAUUGACGCUGAGGAGCGAAAGCCAGGGGAGCAAGCGGG